rnacentral:lncRNA from 1 species
GUCUCCUUAGUUUCCUCUGGUCUGUUAUAGUUUCUUAGUCUUUUUUUUUUUUUCCAUGGUCUUGAUAGUUUUGAGGAAUAUUGAUCAAGUGUUUUAUAGACUGUCCUUCAAUUUUGGAUUAUGUGAUUAUUUUUUUCAUGUUUAGACUGAGUUAUAGAUUUUUUGGAAAGAAUAUCACAGAGGUGAAGUGCCCGUCUCAUCACAUGAUAUUGGUGGGUACAUGGGAUCAAUAUAACUUAUCAUUGGUAAUAUUAACCUUGACCACCUGGCCAAGGCAGUGUUUGCAGGUUCCUCCACUGUAAAGUUAGUCCCCUACCCCCUUUCCAUCCUCUAUUCUUUGGAAGUUAGUCAUUAAGUCCAGCCCACACUCAAGGGGGAGGGGAACUAAGUUCUACCUCCUGAAGUGGGGAGUGUACCAUGUUAAGCUGAACAGUGUUCCCCCAAAGGUAUCUACAUUCUGAUCCCCUGUCAACGUUACCUUGUAUGGCAAAAGAGAUUUUUCAGAUGAGAUUAAAUUGAAGAUCUUGAAGAGAGAGAAUAUCCUGGAUUAUCCAGGUGUGCCCUAAAUAAUUACAAAGAUCCUUAUAAGAGGAAAGCAAGGUCAAAAGUGAAAGUGAUGUGACAAAGGAAGCAGAGGUUAGAGUGAUUUGGCCAGAAGCCAAUGAACAACAUAAAAGAGAGCAGAUAAGCAGAGAGAAGACAGGACAUGGUUUUAAAGCCAAAUUUUAAAUGAGGACACCAAAGUUUGAACAGAAUCCUCAAAUCCUGGCAAACAAGUAGUAAACUUGACAUAGAAGGGUAACUUUUUACUCAUCAUAUUGGCAAAAACUAUGAAAAGCAGUUAUAUCUAGGGAUGGUGAUGUGGGAAUAUAAACAACUGUUAUGAAUAUCAAUUAUCCUGAGGUCUAAGGAAAAUAAUCUGACAUCUUAAAAUUUUAAAUGUGUGCAUUGUUUGACUAUGCAAUCCUCCCUUUAGAAAUCCAUUUUAUAGAGAUAAAAACACAAGUUCAUAAAGAUAAAUGCAGAAGGAUGUAUAUUCCAGCAUUCAUUAUAUUAAUUAUAAUGCUGCCUCUUGUUUUAAAUUUGGUACAAAUAGGUGUUUAUGAGCUUCAUAAUUGCUUCUGGACAUUUAUUUUUCCCCAUAGCUAAUCUAUCAGCAAAUCUUAUCUCCUUUACCUCCAAAAUGUGUUUUAGAUCUGUACACUACUCUCUACCAACAUUAUUUUUCCUGGUCAAUAAACAUAGAUCAAUAUAUAAUAUCAGAAAUUAAAUAAUAUUCCUAGUUUUGGAUAUGCAAUUUACUUAAAUAUUCUAUCGUUUUAAGUAUUUUGCUAUUAUAAUAUGUACUAUCAAUUACAGUAGAGUGUUUAUGCUUAAUUUUAAAAAGGAUUGCAUAAAUAAAUGCUGAUAAACACAAGCCAUAUUUACAAUAACUUUUCCUACAAUCACUGGGUUAUUUUGAUUUUAAU